rnacentral:rRNA from 1 species
UUGUUCGGAAUUACUGGGCGUAAAGGGCGCGUAGGCGGCCUCUUAAGUCGAACGUGAAAUCCCCGGGCUCAACCCGGGAACUGCGUCCGAUACUGGGGGGCUUGAAUCCGGGAGAGGGAUGUGGAAUUCCAGGUGUAGCGGUGAAAUGCGUAGAUAUCUGGAGGAACACCGGUGGCGAAGGCGGCAUCCUGGACCGGUAUUGACGCUGAGGCGCGAAAGCCAGGGGAGCAAACGGG